UUUUUUUUUUUUUUUUUUUUUUUAUUUAUAUCGUAGUUAUAGCCAUCAAUCUGACAACUAACAACAACGCAAUCCGAAUAUAUAUAUUUUUUUAUCGUAUAACCACCGUGCGCAACAACGUUCACAAUGUCCGUUUUGUAACAUUACGUUUUGUAAGAGUGUCCGCCUAUCUAUGAAACGUCUGCCCGUUUGAAAAUUCACAAAAACGUCGGCGAAAACAUUCCGUUCGGCACUGUCGUUUUUCGAGAUCGCGGACGCAUCUAAAUAACAGAUUUCGCACGGCUUUUAUCCGUGCGCAAACGCUUUGGCCGCGUCACGCCCGUUAGGAGAAAGACGCGGAAAUGCGGCCUUUCGAUAUUGUUGUGCCCCGUACACGUACGAUAUUGUAUUAUGUUAUAAAACGCUACAACAGACAGUACCGGUUGUAAUUUUGGGAUUUUUUUUUUUUUUUAAUUUUUUUAAAUAUAAUUUAUCGCGUAUACGCGUGUUUUAUGUUUUAAUGUUAUUGAUACACUGUCGACCGUGUAAUUCAUAAGGAGCGUGUAUCUCAUUCCGGGCGCACGUGUACCUCUUGGAUGUUCGGUGACGAACGGUAUAAUAUUCGCUACUGUAUAACUUAAUUAAUUUAUUUAUUUAACGAAACACUCGAGGUGCCAGACUGUCGCCGGUGCGCGCACCGCGUCUACUUCUGUUCACAAUGUCGUGUUUCGCAAAAGCGAUUUUCGUAUUUUUUUUUUUUUUUUUUUUUUUCAAUUAUCUGGUUCUGUAUGUAAUGAAUAAUUAUUCGCUUGUAAUACGACUACGCGUAAUAAUAAUAAUAAUAAUAAUAACAUAAUAUUAUGCUUCCUAACAUAUAAUUUAUACACUCUUUUAUUCAAACUUAUUACUAUUAUCACUAUUGUCACAUAUGAUUAUUAUUGUAAAUAAACGCCG